CUCCCCCCAAUACCCUGCAUGUCUAAGUAAAAGCAACUUUUACCGUGAAACUGCGAAUGGCUCAUUAUAUCACUACUAAUUUAUUUCAUAGUGCCUUACUACUUGGAUAACCGUACUAAUUCUAGAGCUAUUACCUGCACUACACUCCCUGACUCUUGCCGAGGGGCCGUAUUUAUUAAAUCAAAGCCAAAGCCGUCCCUCCACCUUCUCCUGUGGUUCCUCCUCCAAAGUACACGAAACCUCCGCCCCCACGCCUCCCCUGCCCAUUACCUACGGGGCACCUACACCCUAUUUUCCUAUCUUUCCAAAUCCCAUUUUGCCG
rnacentral:rRNA from 1 species